CUAAGAUCCACAUAUUUCAAAGUCUUAUAACUUUUUAUUUUUGCCCUCACUGGCCUCCAAGUUUUCUAGGAUGAUGCAAUGUCCAGCCAUCAACACAUUUGUGAAGGAAUUUUUACUCCCCAAAAGAGCGCCCCCCCAUGGCAGGAGAAAAAAGUCCAUUUUUUCUUGUCCCCUAAGGUGAAAAUACACAUUGUUGAGUGUAACACCUGUACGCUUUGGCAAAAUGACACAAAAAUUGACACACACAUGUAUCUCAAUAAGAUCUACGAAAAAGUCAAUGCGCGCGUAUCUGUCAAAUGUACGGUUAAAGGGUUAUUCCGCAUUUUUUGCUGAUCCGCACACAUUGGAAUUUCGCUAACUCCUCCGAAGGCUUUCGUUCCACCGGCACCACAUUUGCUCAGGCCAAUCUACACCCCAUGGCCAUUAAAAGUUAUUCAAAUCAUGACGCUGCAUCCCACGGUUUAGGUUCUAGGGGGCGCCAAAGAUAACCCUAAAAUCCACAUAAUUAAAAGUCUUAUAACUUUUUAUUUUUGUCCUCACUGGCCUCCAAGUUUUCUAGGAUGAUGCAAUGUCCAGCCAUCAACACAUUUGUGAAGGAAUUUUUACUCCCCAAAAGAGCGCCCCCCCAUGGCAGGAAAAAAAAGCCAAUUUUUUCUUGUCCCCUAAGGUGGAAAUUCACACUAUUGACUGUCACGCCUGUACGCUUUAUCAUAUUGACACAAAAAUUGACACACAUAUGUAUCUCAAUAAGAUCUACAAAAGAGUCGAUUCGCGCGUAUCUGUCAAAUGUACGGUUAAAGGGCUAUUUUGCAUUUUUUGCCGAUUCGCACACAUUGGAAUGUGGCUAACUCCUCCUAAGGCUUUCGUCCCACUGACACCAAAUUUGCUCAGGCCAAUCUACACCCCAUGGCCAUUCAAAGUUGUAAAAAUCAUGACGCUGCACCCCACGGUUUACGUUCUAGGGGGCGCCAAAGAUGACCCAAAAAUCCACAUUCUUAAAAGAAUCCACACCCCCCCCAUAUGGCAGGAGAAAAAGUCAAGUUUUUCCUGCCCAUCGCUCAAUGGCUCAAUCGCAUCGCUCUCCAGGCAACACCGUAAGGAGGAGCAACCUGCCAUUUCGAUAUAUCAUAGCUGUGUUUGUGCCCUCACUCAUGGUCCAGACUUUUUUCAAAUAGGACAUGAAGUUUGUCUGCAGCGAGUGUUUUGGUAGAAACUGCGCCUCCCAUUCAUUAUAAUGGGAAAUGACCACAGACAAGUGCGCACACCAUCUUUGGAUCUUGAGUGUGACGCGAUCGGGAGGGGGAGGCGGUCGCCCUGGGGGCGGCGCGACGCGGCUCGGGCCCGACAGUGCCCCACCGGGGCCCUAGUUAUUAUUAUUUUUCCUCCCCUUUGAACUGGAAAAUGGCCCACUUCCCACUGGCGAAAACUCAUGAAAUUUGGCAGGACGACCGGGCCUGGUGAAAAAUUUGAUAUUCCUAAGUCGCCCAAACAAGAAAAUGCAAAAUGGCUCCAUAGCGCCCCCUAAGGUGAAAAUUCACACUAUUGACUGUCACGCCUGUACGCUUUGUCAAAA